AUCCCUAUCAGGUUCAUAGACACGAUGACUGGAUGUUCACAUGUUAGGGUGACAAGUGCCUCCUUUCAGUCUCAUUACAUCAGCGCGGGACUCAUCUGACA
ensembl:snoRNA